rnacentral:rRNA from 1 species
AUUGAACGCUGCGGCAGGCUUAACACAUGCAAGUCGAGCGAGCGGCGGACGGGUGAGUAAUGCUUAGGAAUCUGCCUAUUAGUGGGGGACAACAUCUCGAUAGGGAUGCUAAUACCGCAUACUACUAGAUGAGCCUAAGUCGGAUUAGCUAGUUGGUGGGGUAAAGGCCGACCAAGGCGACGUUCUGUAGCGGGGCUGAGAGGAUGGUCCGCCACGCUGGGACGGAGACACGGCCCAGUCUGCUUGGGGAGCAAGCAGUGGAGAAAAUGGAGCAAGGAGUGGAACCCUGAGCCAGCGAUGCGGCGUGUGUGAGGAGGGCCUUAUGGUAGUAAAGCACUUUAAGCGAGGUGGCGUUACUCGUAUAAUAAGCACCGGCUAACUAUGUGCCAGCAGCCGCGGUAAUUC